GUGAGGAAUAUUCGUCAAUGGGGGAAACCCUGAACGAGCAACGCCGCGUGGAGGAUGAAGGCUUUCGGGUCGUAAACUCCUUUUCAGGGAGACGAGAAAGGACGGUAUCCCUGGAAUAAGUCACGGCUAACUACGUGCCAGCAGCCGCGGUAAUACGUAGGUGACGAGCGUUAUCCGGAUUUACUGGGCGUAAAGCGCUUGUAGGUGGUUUUGUAAGUUGGACGUUAAAUCUCCAGGCUCAACUUGGAGAGGCCGUUCAAUACUGCGAGACUAGAGGAUGUCAGAGGAAGGUGGAAUUCCAGGUGUAGUAGUGAAAUGCGUAGAUAUCUGGAGGAACACCCAUGGCGAAGGCAGCCUUCUGGGACAUUCCUGACACUGAGAAGCGAAAGCUAGGGGAGCAAACAGGAUUAGAAACCCUUGUAGUCC
rnacentral:rRNA from 1 species